GAUGAACGCUAGCUACAGGCUUAACACAUGCAAGUCGAGGGGCAGCAUGGUCUUUGCUUGCUAAGGCCGAUGGCGACCGGCGCACGGGUGAGUAACACGUAUCCAACCUGCCGUCUACUCUUGGACAGCCUUCUGAAAGGCAGAUUAAUACAAGAUGGCAUCCUGAGUCUGCAUGUUCGCAUGAUUAAAGGUUUUCCGGUAGACGAUGAGGAUGCGUUCCAUUAGAUAGUAGGCGGGGUAACGGCCCACCUAGUCUUCGAUGGAUAGGGGUUCUGGAAGGAAGGCACCCCACAUGAGAGCAGAAACACGAACCAAACGCCUGCUGGAGGCAGCAGAGAGGAAUAUUGGGCAAUGGGCGAGAACAUGAGCCAGCCAAGUAGCGUGAAGUAUGACUGCGCUAUGGGUUGUAAACUGCUUUUAUAAAGGAAUAAAGUCGUUUAUGGAGACCCGUUUGCAUGUACUUUAUGAAUAAGGACCGGCUAACUCCGUG
rnacentral:rRNA from 1 species